rnacentral:lncRNA from 1 species
GGGAGAGACAGGAGGUUCACCUUGCUCCAUGCCCUUGUGGAGCAGAUCAUGUUGCAAGAACCGUGCCUGGCCACUUUUACGCAGGAGUUGGCGGAAUUCGAAACUGUCCCUGGAGCUUCCAUCAAAGGCUUGACCGCAGAGGUAGAUGUCCUGAAGAAUGAACUGCAGAAAGUGAUUCAGUACAGAAAAACUUCCAAGAAGAGAAAUGCCGCAGCUCAUCCCCCAAACUUCUCCAAAGACCUGAAGGUGUGGUUUCUCCUCCAUAUUUGCUUUGUUUAAAUCAGCCAGUGGUCCUCUUAUGGCCUCUGGUUUUAUUUGCACAUUUGCAGCUAA